rnacentral:sRNA from 1 species
GAAUGUCCCUGAGAACCAGAAGGGCCAGCGCUCAGCUGCUCUGGCACCUAGCUGCAGGGAUGGCUUCCUGGGCUAAGGGCAGGAGCUACCUGGCGCCUGGUUUGCUGCAGGGCCAAGUGGCCAUCGUCACCGGCGGGGCCACGGGCAUCGGAAAAGCCAUCGUGAAGGAGCUUCUGGAGCUGGGGAGUAAUGUGGUCAUUGCAUCCCGUAAGUUGGAGAGAUUGAAGUCUGCAGCAGGUGAACUGCAGGCCAACCUACCUCCCACAAAGCAGGCACGAGUCAUUCCCAUACAGUGCAACAUCCGGAACGAGGAGGAGGUGAAUAAUUUGGUCAAAUCUACCUUAGAUAUUUUUGGUAAAAUCAAUUUCUUGGUGAACAAUGGAGGAGGCCAGUUUCUUUCCCUUGCUGAACACAUCAGUUCUAAGGGAUGGCACGCUGUGCUUGAGACCAACCUGACGGGUACCUUCUACAUGUGCAAAGCAGGCAAGUACCAUCAGUAUCCACAAGUCACUAUGUCUUUAUUUAGAGAUCUCAGGAAUCCUAUUAGGGACUCAGAAGCCCCAUGUCAUUAACAUUUAUUGGCUG